rnacentral:lncRNA from 1 species
GGAGAGAGCGAGAGCGAGAUUGAGGAAGAGGAGGGAGAGAGUUUUGGCGUCGGCCGCCCUUGGGUGCUGGGCCCCAACAGUGGGCCGCCGCCCGCCUGAGCAGUGUCGGGUCCGGCCCCGCUUGGCCAGGCCUGCACCCGGCCUGCUGGUCUCCGGGUCUCCCCACCCCGGCACCCUCCGAAUGUGGAUGCCCCAAAGCAGUGAGCGCCCCUGUGGGCAAGGGUCAGCACGGAUGCGAGAGUCCCUGGUUGCUGUGGGUGCAUGCUUAAGGAGCAGGUGGGGGAAAGGAGUGAUGAGAGAGUCACCCUCCCCUUGGCGACAUUAGCUCUGCUGCCCAGAAAGCCUGGGUAAGGGGGGGCCCCGACUGGGGGUGCUGAGCUUGCUAAGUGGGGGUGCUGAGCUUGCUAAGGGGGCACAUUACUUAGAGACCGUGGGCUUGAGGGCUAUGGUGGGGCAUGCUUGAGUCAGGGGACUUGGAGACACGUAGCAGGGGCUUCAGGACUGCAGUCUCUAGGGACAGGACAGGCCCCAGGGGCUGGGGGCUGGAAGUUCCCCGUGAAGAGGGCUCCAGGCCUCCCUUGCUGCAGGCCCAGGAGAGGUGGGCUCCGUAGAGCAGAGAAGCUGUUCCCAUGGAGCUGGGCUGCGGCUGAGGCUGCCUGGUCACACCCAGCCAAGGCCAAGCCUGGGCCGUUAGCUGGCGACCCAGGCAGCUGCCAAGCACUGCUGGCUGCAGGCAGGCAGGGCCACUGAGCACAGCUCUGGGACCCACCAUCCAUCGUCUGUCUGUCACGUGCAGCCACAGCUGAACUGCCCUCCUAGACCAUCUGGAGGCCACCAAGGACUGGGGAAGGACAUUCAAUGUGCCAGAGAGGAGUUAGGGGGAGGGGGGUGGGGCAGCAGGGACCAGCUGGGGCCCACUCCUGCCCUGGUCUCUCCACCAAACACGGGGUCAGACCUGGGUGCCCCCGGGUGUUCCCAGUGGUUCCCUGCUCUGGGAACUGCCUGUCCAGCAGGGAGAGCCUGCACCCAGGCGGGGGCCACCAGUGGGCAGUGAGUGGCCGAAGGAAGCCCAGCGGGGCAGCGUGGAGGUGCACCUUCUCCGAGGCCGUGACAAGCUGAAUUUUCCCACAAAGGAAACAGGGCAGAGGGGUCCAGGUGGGGGCCCUGGCCUGCCCUCGGGCGUCUGUCUCCAGGUCUGCCUAGGGCUUUGCUACGCAUAGUAGGUGCUCCUUGAGUGUGUGUUGAAACCAGCGAAAGAUUAGUCCAUAUAUGGGUGUGGAAUCUGGCCAGGGAAGAGGCAGCUUGGUCCAGCCCCCUGUGGGAGGCCAGUGGCAGGGCACUUGGAAGGUUGCAGAGGCUACAAACAGGUAGGAAGGGUGACCGUCCCCCAGCGCACAGCAGAGCCUGCAGGCUCAGGGCCACCAGCUAGCAUUCCCAGGGAACAACUCCCCCAACCCCGCCCCAGGCCUGGGCGAAUGUUCCCAGCCCAUCCACUCCCUCCCUCCCAGGGGCCAGACUGCGCUCCCUGUCCCAGGCCUUGUGUCUCUCAGUCGUGGGCGAGGGGCCAGCCACCUCAGGACCUGCCAGCCCUGUGAUUCGGGGGUUGGGGCGGGAGGUGGGGUUUGCUGCGGGUUGAUGGGCUGCCAGCCCGGUGGGGGGGCUGGUCACACUGGGACCACUGCAGGGCCCCCCGGGCAGGGCAAGGAUGGAGAGCCAGGCUGGUCCCCAGGCAGGACCUGUGCUGCCACCUGGCCUCUUCUCAACCAGGGCCAGCCAAGGGGCACGCUCGCCCCCACUGACCUGGGGGCCUGGUACCCUCCUGGCCCUCUGUCUGCCGCAGCCCAGUGGUCUCCUGUGCCGGCCAGCAUCCCCCUCCUCCUGCGGGGCCCCCCCCAGGGCCCUGAUCUGAGGGCUGAAGAAGGGACGGCCUGGGUGUCCUGGGUCCUGAGAAAGGACCCCGAAAGAAGGAGGCCUGGGAGGGGGCUGGGCAGCCGCCUGGGGGAGGGGAGGCGCUGGGGGGGGGGGGGGGAGAGAGCAGCAGGAGGAGGAAAAGAGGAAGUGAGGCGGCCAGAGGAAGAGGGAGGAGACCGCGGGAGAGGAAGUGAACAGGUUCUCGGCUGGCCGGGAACUUUGCCCUCGCAGGCAGGGAGUUUUCAGAGCCGCCCGGGCAGGCGCACAGCCCCGGCCCCCCGGCCGCCCCCGCCCGUGGGGACCGUUCUUGCCUUUCCGGGGCUUUUUUCUUCUCUGCGGUCCCCUGCCCGCGAGGCCCCCAGGCGAGGGGACAUUUACAACCCACGCCAGAGACCAAGCCCGCCUCCUCCAGCCCAGGCCGCCCCGCUGGCUGCCUGGCUCUGGCCUGGGGGCCCCGCCGCUGCCCGCCCCUGCGGGGACCCCAAGGCACAUUUUUCAGAGGGAGACACUGAGCUGGGACCCAGAAGGGGAGGAGACCUCCCAACGAGACCGCCGGCUCCGGGAGAGACCCUGCCAACAGUCCAGCAAACACGGCCCUUGUUACAGAUGCGGACACUGAGGCCGGGCUGGAAAAGGGCCCAGGGCACGGAGUCCCCUGUCGGGGGUUCGAGGUGCAGGGCCUGGAGGCCCCUCCCUGGGUAAAGUGUCCCCCUGCAGUGUCCCCAGGGACUGGGGCCAAAGGCUGUUCCAAAGUCUAAAUUCCUGGGUCCUUCCUUCUCAGUGCUUAUCUCCUAAGGCCCAGAGAGGCAGCCACUAGCCUCCGGUCACACCACCAGCGUCCUGAGGCUCCGAGCCUGCUCGCCCCGCCACCUCUUUCCUCGCCCGUCCUCGCCUGCUCCCAGAUGGUCUCCAGAGGAGAGUCUGGACCUCGGAAUUUACUGGACUUGGGGUUCCUCUGCCUCCUGCCCCACUUUGCCUCAACCUUCAGGGCCAGCUCUCCGGCUGCCCGCUCCAGGAAGCCUGCCAGGACUUGCUCCCCCCACCAGAACAGCGGUCACCUUCCUGCCCAGAGAGGGGAAGUGACCCAGCCAGGAUCACUCAGCAAGGGCACAGGCAGGAGCUCAACCUCCUGGAUCACGCUGCUCCUACAUCCCACACACCAGCCCCAGGCAGCCAGGCACGCUUCCAGAGAGGAACAGCACCAGACACUGUUUUGAGCAAUCCCCUGAAGAAGCAGAUGUGAUUCCUGAGACAGACCUCAAACAAGAGAACCAAAGAGAACAGGUUCUGAUGCCCAGGGAGGAGAGCAGUGGAUUUCCUGGGGCAGGCCUCUGGGGUGCCCAGCCAGCGGAGGGAGGCCGGACUGGGCCCUGCGUGCUCUCCUGGGCAUUCGCCAAGGCCUUGGCCCCAGCCCAGCCUCCAGCCAGAGUCUGUCCCAGGGCUGUCACUAGGCAGCCUCCAGAUCCUCAGCCCGCCCUGGGGCGUCCCCUGCUCCCCGACGGAUAGAGUCAUCUGCCAAGGGGGAUCCCUGCCCCGGAGAAACUGGGAACUUGUGACACUUCCUGGGAGAGUUUUUAAAAAUCCUUAAAAACCACCCUCUCUCUUCCUGGCCCCAGGGCACCCUGGGGAACUGCCCAACCUCCUGGGGAGUCCCCAGCCCAGCCCACCUGAGUGAGUUUUUCAGAAAGAGAUGCGAUUUUUCCCUGGCCAUCCCCGCUGCACACCCAGCUGAGCCCUCUCCUCGGAGCCCCGGGCCCUUCUGGGCCCGUUGUCCCCAUUCUCUGGAUAAGACCUCGAGGUGACCCGGGCAGACCCUGACUGCUGAGAGGGGGCAGUCCCUCAGGGCCUGACAGUUGUCCCAGGCAGACUGGAGGCAUCCCAGCCUCACGCCCCACCAAGUUGUGGUCCCAGGGGGUCUCUGAGGUCCAUUCCUCACCCGGGCCCACAGUAGCCCACUGGGAGUGGCUGGUGGCCUGCCCGAGUCACCUGGAGGCCAAGGGAGCUGGCCCGGGACAGAGGCCUGAGAAGCUGGGUGACAGGUUGAACCAAGUGGGGUGGGGUCAGCCGCACUUCAAGUUCAGGCCAAGCGGGGUUCUGGAGGCUCCUGGGCCCAGCACCCCAAAGUGCUGGCAAACACACCCGCAUGAAUGGCACAGACAGGAGGCUGCGUGGACCCUACACCUUGGGCCUCUGUCUUGGGGCUGUGCGAAGGGGCAGGGAGCAUCUGGCUCCCAGGGGGCCGGGGGCAGUCAGUGACCUGGGCUCUCAAGUCUCAGGCCCAGGGCUGGGCGCCCAUGGCUGUGGUCGCCGUUGGGACCCAGCCCCUUCCUGGCUGGUGGCCUUGCUCCUGCACCUUCCCUGCCUGGGCUGGGGGCUCAGAAAUGCCCCGGGAGCUGGGGGCAGGGGCAGUGGAAGUGCUGGGGGCUGCCCCUCCUGGAGGAAGUGAAAGGGGAACGAGCAGGAGGGGAGGGAGGUGUUGGGAGCGUGCCGGCGGGUGGGGCCAGGGCUGACUCACAGCCACAGCUCACCCACCUCAGGGUGCAGCCCGGCCACCCCGUCCACAGGAGGACGAGGGGAGGACAGAGUCCCCGAGGGCCCACCGCGAGCGGAGCCAAGCCGAGCCUGUGUCACCACGCAGAAAGUUCACCCCGCCCCACCCCGGCCAGGCAGGAAUCUCCCCAUUUCUCAGACAAGCCAACUGAGACCAGUGAGAGCCAGAGACCCGGCCUAGCAGUUAAUAGCCUGCGAUUCUCAGAACGCACCAGAGCCUGGUGUGGGGUCAAGGCCCCUGGCCAGGCUCAAAGGGGCCGGCUGUGUCCCUGAGGCCCCAGCUGGGGAAACUGAGGCUCAGAGUGGCCAGUGGGCAGUGCAGAGCUGGGCUCCCUCCCUGGUGCCCAGGGCCCCACGUGGGGCCAGUCCUCAGCUGACGCCACUCCUCCAGCCUGGGGCCUGGGGCCCGGGCCCGGCCAAGUGGAAACCCGAUCGGCUCCCCCACGUAGCUGCGGAGCCAGGCCCUCCUGGGCCAGAAAUCUCAGCCGCCUGCUGGGCUGGCCAGAAACCUGAGCCUGCCCUGCAGCCAGAGCUUCAGUGCUGCCAGGGAUACAGAGGGGGGACCAAGCCCGGGCUGCACUGUCCGCUGGAGACACAGUCCUGACCCGGUGAGACUGGUUCUGUGCGAGCCCAGAGAAGCCCCAGCCACGGGCGUGGGUUUGGCAGGUCAGGCAGGGAAGGGGUUCCCUGGCACAAGGGCCGGUGGGGGGGACGGGGGCAGCAGGCAGGGCCCUCCCCCCUCCAUUUCCCAGGUCACUAGGGAAUGACUGGGGCUGUCACAUUCACUCACCUGGGCUGCUGAGACCCAUAGCCCUGGGGACACACAGAUGGACCUGAGGACACACGUGCCCACAGCUGGGACCAAGAACACAGGGUGGGGCUUGGUCCAGACCCAGGCAGGACUCAGCAGUGAAUGCCACUGCACACAGUGGGGCCACAUGCCAUGCCCUCUUAGCAAAGCCAGUGUGAAGGAGGCCCCCGAGCAGGCGGGGAGCCCCAGGAGAGAGCGUGCCAUCCACAAAGCAGGACUCGGUUCUUUCUCACCCCUGGAUGUCCUUGGAAAGUGACAAGGCAUCUCUGGGCCAACCGGGGUCAGCAAGACCCUGCGUGGAUGACGCCGUCUGGCUGGGCCUCCCGGGCCUUUGAGGGGCCUGUCACAGACAGCCUGGAAGCUGGCCAUCACCUGCCUACCUAUCAACAGGGAAGCCAAGGUCCAGAGAUGGGCAGAGCUUACCCAGCGCCACAGAGCACAUGCGGCAGGCUGGGGUCCCGGCCUGAGGGCUGGGGGUUGGCCUUUUGUGUGCAGCCAGGACAGCAAGGACAAGGCCAGGUUUUCCGCGGGGAGAGCCAGGCUGGUCCGUCCAGCACAGGACAGGCCCCCACUCCACUUAGCCAAGAGGCAUGAUGGCUCUAAAGCCUGACCUGGGGAGUUGCCAUGGUGGCUCAGCGGGUUAAGAACCAGACUAGUAUCCAGGAGGAUGUGGGUUCCAUCCCUGGCCUCGCUCAGUGGGAUAAAGGUCUGGCAUGGCUGUGAGCUGCAGCAUAGGUCGCAGACACGGCUGGGGUCUGGCAUGGCUGUGGCUGUGGCGUAGGCCGGCUGCUGCGGCUCUGAUUUGACCCCUAGCCUGGGAGCUUCCAUAUGCCAUGGGCGCGGCCCUAAAAAGACCAAAAAAAAAAAAAAAAAAAAAANUGGAAAGUUCUCAGUGCUCAGCUCCAAAGUCUCUCUGCUUGGACACAGGCAAGCUGCUUGGGAGUCUGUGGCCUUGGCAGACUAGCUCCCCUUCAUCACAGAGCCGCAGGGAGGGGACAGAUGCGCCAGCAGACGUGCUUGAGCAGAGCCUGCCCAGGAGAAUCCCGACACAGUGUUUGAGCAAGAAAGAGAGCGGCAAAUCGAGGAGAGAGGUGAGCAAAAGCCCUAAAGGGGCAUUUUAGACAAGAGGCCACGCAAAUCUUCGCAUGGCCAGGAAAGACAAAAGGAGCUCAACACCACGGGUCAUGCGGGAAAUGCAAAUAAAACCACGGCGAGAUACC